GAUGAACGCUGGCGGCGUGCCUAAUACAUGCAAGUCGAGCGAACGGACGAGAAGCUUGCUUCUCUGAUGUUAGCGGCGGACGGGUGAGUAACACGUGGAUAACCUACCUAUAAGUCUGGGAUAACUUCGGGAAACCGGCGCUAAUACCGGAUAAUAUUUUGAACCGCAUGGUUCAACAGUGAAAGACGGUCUUGCUGUCACUUAUAGCUGGAUCCGCGCUGCAUUAGCUAGUUGGUAAGGUAACGGCUUACCAAGGCAACGAUGCAUAGCCGACCUGAGAGGGUGGUCGGCCACACUGGAACUGAGACACGGUCCAGACUCCUACGGGAGGCAGCAGUAGGGAAUCUUCCGCAGUGGGCGAAAGCCUGACGGAGCAACGCCGCGUGAGUGAUGAAGGUCUUCGGAUCGUAAAACUCUGUUAUGAGGGAAGAACAUAUGUGUAAUUAACUGUGCACAUCUUGACGGUACCUAAUCAGAAAGCCACGGCUAACUACGUG
rnacentral:rRNA from 1 species